rnacentral:rRNA from 1 species
UACGUAGGGUGCAAGCGUUAAUCGGAAUUACUGGGCGUAAAGCGUGCGCAGGCGGUUAUGUAAGAACAGUUGUGAAAUCCCCGGGCUCAACCUGGGAACUGCAUCUGUGACUGCAUUGCUGGAGUAUGGCAGAGGGGGGUGGAAUUCCACGUGUAGCAGUGAAAUGCGUAGAGAUGUGGAGGAACACCGAUGGCGAAGGCAGCCCCCUGGGCCAAUACUGACGCCUCAUGCACGAAAGCGUGGGGAGCAAACA